UGCAGGAACAUGGAGUCGAUUGAAAAGUACCAAAAUUAAAAGCCCAUCAGAGCCUAUCAUGGUUGAAUCAGAGAAUAAGGAUAUGAUCAUCUGCUAUCAUCCUGCAGAAAGCUUUCCAUAUGAACAUACCAAGCCUAUACCAAGACCAGAUCCAUCAAGACCUGAGGUGAGUGUUGUGUCUUCUUUUCUUCCCCUUUUCAUGUUUUAUUAGUACUGCGUUUUUAUUUC